rnacentral:lncRNA from 1 species
GGUCAGGUUUCCUUCUGUGGGGAGUGUGGCACCUGUUCCAGGCCAGGAGUCUGGCAGGGAGCAGAGAGCUGCCCAAGUCUCAGGCGUGUGCCCACCGAGUCUCCAGGUCUCAACCCGCUCUAUCCACCGAACUUCCUGGCAUGGUUUUACCAUCCCACAGGUUGCCUUUAGAUACGGCAUUUUAUCACAGCACCAGAAAAGCAACAAAUUCCCCCUGCAAUUCCACUCUUGAGCUGGAACCUGUGUGAAGUGAAAAAGUACAGUCAGACAACAACAGCCCACACUGGGAAUAACCCAGUGUACCCCCGAUGAUGAAUGGACGAACUGAUGAGGUAUCUGCACAAAGGGAUGCCAGCCAGCCACUCAGUUAGAUGAAGUCCGGCUUUGUGCCUCAACAUGAAGCAACCUUUGGAGCAUUGAGUGAGAGAAGGCAGUUUAAAGUGACUACAUAUUGUAUGGUACCAUUUAUAUGGCGUGCUUAAAUGAGCAGUCAAUCCAUAGACGCAGAGAAUCCUAGCCCUGGGGGCCAGAGGAGAAAUAGGAGUGACCCAGUACAGUGGCAGGUGGAUUUCUGAGUUUGAGGCCAGCCUGAUCUACAGAGUGAGUUCCAAGACAGUCAGGGGAACACAGAGAAACCCUGUCUCAAAACAAACAAACAAACAAACAAACAAACAAAAAGACUCAGUCCCUGACUGCUGGGCAUCUGGAGGGUAUGAGGAGGCAAAGGCAUGGCCAACAGUGCCCAGGGGUCCCAAGCUCACUGGGUCCGAGGGACUGAGGGGCUGCCAUACAGAGAGGAGACCUGCCAGACAUAGUAGCAGACCUGACGACUCAUGGACCCAGGAUGCUAAGUGCUGAGGUCAGCUACGCCCUGCUUCACCUUCUUUCUGGAUUGUGCUUCUUACAUCCUAGGUGUGGGCGCAUGUCCCCAGCUUGUCCAUGUGCAUUGCACUUUGAGAUCUGUGGUGACAGACUAGCAGCCCAGACUUCGACAGCUAGUUCUCUCUUUUCCUUUCUACCUCAGCCAGGUCUGAGGAAGCUGAGCGUGGAAGUCUGUCUUGUCUACAGGCAAAGGAAGGCAUCAGCUUGUAGCUCCCGGACGUGGAGAACAGGGAGUAAUGUCUGGGGCUGCCCCUCCCUGGCCUGCUCUUUGCUCUCUCAGCCUUCUCCAUCCCCAGCUACCCACUGAUUUCUCAAAUCCUGUUUCCAAGAAAAUCCUGUCCCUGCCCCUGGGACUGCAAUAUGGCCCCAGAGCUUCCCAAAUGGAAAAGAUGUGCCCGGGCUCGGUGUCCUUCUGAGACUCUGAGCUGUCUAGGGAGGCAGAGCUAUGAGCUGCCUCCAUUGAAAGGCACAAUCUGGAAAGCUGUCCUGGGCCAGGGAAGGGCAUUGAAAGCCUUACUAUUCAGUGCAGAUAGGUUUUACCCUAGCUGAAAUACUUGAGGUGACAAACGGCUGUCUAGGAGAGAGAAGCCCAGAGUAUCUCUCUGAGUUAAGCCAUAGUCACUGCCUAAGUCUCCACUCCACUUGACCGUCUUCCCCUGAGGGAGACAAGCCCACACAUCUUAGAACACUGGGAAAGCGGUGUAAGGGAAGAAACCCCCGCUUGCAGAAAGACUUCUAACUGAGAUGUUGCUGUUCCCAUGACCCUGUGUGACCCCUGGGAGGAGCUGCCGGAUGCCCCACGUGACCUGGCUGUGACUCACUUCUCCCUGCAGCCUCAGGACUUCAUCUGCAAUAAAGCUUUAGAGCCUCUCCCAGCUCUGCAAGCCCCUUACCUGAGGCCAUUUCCCCUCCCGGGCCUCCUCCUCAUGCCCAGCUACGGCCUGUCCCUGCCGCUCCUUCAGGAGGCUUCUCCCAUCAACCCAGACUUUGCCACAAGAACAGGCCAAUUUAGGGAAGCAAGAAUAAAUCUCUGGAGGCCCAGCAGCUCUGGAAAAGCUGAUCAGCCCAGGACAGAGGCUCAGGUAUCCCUUGGGACUGGACUGCCUGAGAGAAUACGGAGUCUCUGCUCAACCCCAUUGCCUUACCAGCCGUACUUUCUGAAACAGCUUUGGCCCAGGAACCUGCAGGGCAGAAUGUCCGUCCACCUGAUUUCCAAGGGCAUGUCAUUUUCCCUUUGUAAGGAAGGGUCUUCCUCCUCACCUGGGGGUGUCCUCAAACACAGAAGAGAUGGUGGGUGGGGGGCAGGCGGCUACAAAGCUUGACAAAGACCUCUCCCUUAAAGCGUCCAUCUUCUUUGGCCAGCACAGGAGCUCUGGUGUCUGCCUUGCCACUCAGUUAGCACACUGGACUUUAUAGCCUAUUUGCUCUGGCUCAAGAGGGUGUCCUGGGCCCUUCCCAACCCCAUUUCCCCCGUAACUGUCAGCUUUCUCCUGGACCCCAAGGGCCACGAAUCAGUUGCUCUAUUAAAUGAAAGUGUCAUAAAGGUUCUGGAUUCACCUUUUUUUUUUUUUAAGGACAUCUUGGUGGGGAAAAACCACGUAGUGC